rnacentral:rRNA from 1 species
GACGAACGCUGGCGGCGUGCUUAACACAUGCAAGUCGAACGAAAAGAGGGAAAGAGCUUGCUCUUUCCGGAAUUGAGUGGCAAACGGGUGAGUAACACGUAAACAACCUGCCUUCAGGAUGGGGACAACAGACGGAAACGACUGCUAAUACCGAAUAAGUUCCAAGAGCCGCAUGGCCCAUGGAAGAAAAGGUGGCCUCUACCUGUAAGCUAUCGCCUGAAGAGGGGUUUGCGUCUGAUUAGCUGGUUGGAGGGGUAACGGCCCACCAAGGCGACGAUCAGUAGCCGGUCUGAGAGGAUGAACGGCCACACUGGAGCUGAGACACGGUCCAGACUCCUACGGGAGGCAGCAGUGGGGAAUCUUCCGCAAUGGGCGAAAGCCUGACGGAGCAACGCCGCGUGAGUGAUGACGGCCUUCGGGUUGUAAAACUCUGUGAUCCGGGACGAAAAGGCAGAGUGCGAAGAACAAACUGCAUUGACGGUACCGGAAAAGCAAGCCACGGCUAACUACGUG